CAGUAGCCGCGGUAAUACGGAGGGUGCAAGCGUUAAUCGGAAUUACUGGGCGUAAAGCGCACGCAGGCGGUCUGACAAGUCAGAUGUGAAAUCCCCGGGCUUAACCUGGGAACUGCAUUUGAAACUGUCAGGCUGGAGUCUUGUAGAGGGGGGUAGAAUUCCAGGUGUAGCAGUGAAAUGCGUAGAGAUCUGGAGGAAUACCGGUGGCGAAGGCGGCCCCCUGGACAAAGACUGACGCUCAGGUGCGAAAGCGUGGGGAGCAAACAGGAUUAGAUACCCGUGUAGUCCCUGUCUCUUAUAC
rnacentral:rRNA from 1 species